rnacentral:lncRNA from 1 species
UUGCAGUGGGAAGAUAACUAAACACAUCCUUAGAGUUUACGAUGGGCAUAAAACCCGAAACCCGAAGACCGAAACCAAAAAACGUGAAAAUCGAACCCAUAUAACCCGAACCCGAAAAACUCAAUCACUAUAUCGUAUAUCAAUUUUAGAAACUCGAAUUUAAUUCAAAUAAAAUGAGUAAAAGGUCACGGUACCCAAAUUACCCAAAUAGCCCGAAUUGUUUGGCAACCGAGUAAAAUGCUCCACGUAUAAAGAAGACCCGACCCAAAACUGUCAUCACUACUCGCUUCCCCGCAAAACCUUGAUUGAGUCACC